AUUGAAUGCUGGCGGCAGGCUUAACACAUGCAAGUCGAGCGGUAGCACAGGGGAGCUUGCUCCCUGGGUGACGAGCGGCGGACGGGUGAGUAAUGUCUGUGAAACUGCCUGAUGGAGGGGGAUAACUACUGGAAACGGUAGCUAAUACCGCAUAACGUCGCAAGACCAAAGAGGGGGACCUUCGGGCCUCUUGCCAUCAGAUGUGCCCAGAUGGGAUUAGCUAGUAGGUGGGGUAAUGGCUCACCUAGGCGACGAUCCCUAGCUGGUCUGAGAGGAUGACCAGCCACACUGGAACUGAGACACGGUCCAGACUCCUACGGGAGGCAGCAGUGGGGAAUAUUGCACAAUGGGCGCAAGCCUGAUGCAGCCAUGCCGCGUGUGUGAAGAAGGCCUUCGGGUUGUAAAGCACUUUCAGCGAGGAGGAAGGUGGUGAGCUUAAUACGUUCAUCAAUUGACGUUACUCGCAGAAGAAGCACCGGCUAACUCCGUG
rnacentral:rRNA from 1 species